AACUUUCAGCAACGGAUCUCUUGGCUCUCGCAUCGAUGAAGAACGCAGCGAAAUGCGAUACGUAAUGUGAAUUGCAGAAUUCAGUGAAUCCUCGAAUCUUUGAACGCACCUUGCGCCCCUUGGAAUUCCGAGGGGCACACCCGUUUGAGUGUCGUGAACAUCCUUCAACCUUUCUUGGUUUCUUAACCGGGGAAGGCUUGGACUUUGGGGGUCUUUCAUUGCUGGCCUCUUUGAAGCCAGCUCCUCCUAAAUGGAUUAGUGUGGUCUGCUUUGCCGAUCCUUGACGUGAUAAGAUGUUUCUACGUCUUGGGUUUCGCACUGUCGCUUUAGACCCCGCUUCUAACCGUCUUGCAUUCAAGACAGAGUUUUAAACCUUGACCUCAAAUCGGGUGAGACUACCCGCUGAACUUAAGCAUAUCAAUAAGCGGAGGCU
rnacentral:misc_RNA from 1 species